rnacentral:tRNA from 1 species
GGCUCCGUCUGCUAAAGGUCAGGCGCUCUGGUUUUCACCCAGGAAAUACGGGUUCGAGUCCCGUCGGAGUCA